rnacentral:rRNA from 1 species
GGCUUAGAGUUUGAUCAUGGCUCAGGAUAAACGCUGGCGGCGCACAUAAGACAUGCAAGUCGAACGAACUUAACCUAUAGUUUACUAUUGGAGCGGUUAGUGGCGGACUGGUGAGUAACGCGUAAGCAAUCUGCCUAUCAGAGGGGAAUAACAGUGAGAAAUCACUGCUAAUACCGCAUAAGCAGUGAGUAUCGCAUGAUACAAGCAGAAAAGGAGCAAUCCGCUGAUAGAUGAGCUUGCGUCUGAUUAGUUAGUUGGCGAGGUAACGGCCCACCAAGACGAUGAUCAGUAGCCGGACUGAGAGGUUGAACGGCCACAUUGGGACUGAGAUACGGCCCAGACUCCUACGGGAGGCAGCAGUCGGGAAUAUUGCGCAAUGGAGGAAACUCUGACGCAGUGACGCCGCGUGCAGGAAGAAGGUUUUCGGAUUGUAAACUGCUUUAGACAGGGAAGAAGAAGUGACAGUACCUGUAGAAUAAGCUCCGGCUAACUACGUGCCAGCAGCCGCGGUAAUACGUAGGGAGCGAGCGUUAUCCGGAUUUAUUGGGUGUAAAGGGUGCGUAGAUGGAUAUGCAAGUUGGUUGUGAAAUACCUCGGCUUAACUGAGGAACUGCAACCAAAACUGUAAAUCUUGAGUACUGGAGGGGAAAGCGGAAUUCCUAGUGUAGCGGUGAGAUGCGUAGAUAUUAGGAAGAACACCGGUGGCGAAAGCGGCUUUCUGGACAGAAACUGACAUUGAGGCACGAAAGUGUGGGGAGCAAACAGGAUUAGAUACCCUGGUAGUCCACACCGUAAACGAUGGAUACUAGGUGUAGGUGAUGAUAGUCAUCUGUGCCGUCGCAAACGCAGUAAGUAUCCCACCUGGGGAGUA